GUGUCAGCCGCCGCGGUAAUACGGAGGGUGCGAGCGUUGUUCGGAAUUAUUGGGCGUAAAGCGCGUGUAGGCGGUUUUUUAAGUCUGAUGUGAAAGCCCUGGGCUCAACCUGGGAAGUGCAUUGGAAACUGGAAGACUUGAGUACGGGAGAGGGCAGUGGAAUUCCUAGUGUAGGAGUGAAAUCCGUAGAUAUUAGGAGGAACACCGGUGGCGAAGGCGGCUGCCUGGACCGAUACUGACGCUGAGACGCGAAAGCGUGGGGAGCAAACAGGAUUAGAUACCCGGGUAGUCC
rnacentral:rRNA from 1 species